CCUUGUGGAGGAGGACGCCGAAGGUGGGGCUAAUGACUGGGGUGAAGUCGUAACAAGGUAGCCGUACCGGAAGGUGCGGCUGGAUCACCUCCUAACAGGGAGACAACAAAAUGUUUAAUAUUAUUAUUUUGUCACCUUAGGUCGAUCGGUAUCUCACGUUUUUAAUUUAUUAAGAAUUUCAUUUCCUAAGUUUUUCUAGGUCACACCCAUUAUUUUUCCUGGGCCAUUAGCUCAGGUGGUUAGAGCGCACCCCUGAUAAGGGUGAGGUCCCUGGUUCAAGUCCAGGAUGGCCCAUAUCUCUAUGUUGGGGGUAUAGCUCAGUUGGUAGAGCGCCUGCUUUGCAAGCAGGAUGUCAGCGGUUCGAGUCCGCUUACCUCCACUGAUUACCACCUCUUUCAUAACCGGUAAAAAGGAAAUGUUUUGAGUUGUGAUCAAAUUCUGAAAGAAUCUAGCUUCCUAAUGAAAUCAUUAAGAUGCUGGACUCAUUGAAUUAAUUUCAUUGUUUUCAGAGAACCUUGACAACUGCAUAGAUUAUUUUUAAAGACAAUAAGCAUCUUUAAUGAUGCAGAUUUAUUAUUUGUGCGAAUGCAUUAAUAACAAUUCUAUUAAGCUGAUGCUUCAAUUUUUGAAGUUAUUGGUCAAGCUACAAAGGGCUCACGGAGGAUACCUAGGCACACAGAGGCGAUGA
rnacentral:misc_RNA from 1 species